CUCUUUAAUCUCCCACUCUCUCUAGGUUUUGAAGAGAGAGAAGUGGUGUUGCCUUGUAUUUGAAGGGAGAAGUGGUUUUGUAGAGAGAGAAAUUGCAGUGAACGAGCAUUUCUUCGUAAGAAACCUUUUCACGGGGUUUAAGAACAAAUUGGGUUUUUGUACUCUUGGAGUGCGUGAAUUUUGAACUGCAGAGUAGAUAGAGAACGAAGUUGGGUCUCUUUCUCUCUCUUCGGUUUGUUUGAGAAUUUGCAGCUGCCGUCGUGUAAUGGGUUGCUAUUUUAAGUCAUAGUGGGGCCAUGGGUGACGCUAGUGCAGAGGCUUCUGAUCCCUUAUCUUCUGGAAGUUUAAUGGUGAUAUGAUCUGAGUCAGCCCUCCUUUGUCCAUGUGAUUCCCUGCAACACCUAUAAGGUUCUUCUAUCUUCUAUCCAUUGAUUAGUCCACGCUCCUUCCAUGUUUCUCUUUCUUUUUCAUCACUCCAAUACCUUGCAGCUCCCUUUCUCUCUCAUCGCAAGAACUCCCCUGCGUCUUCUUCCAAAUCCCAUAAUCUCUUCUGACGACUGUGUUUUCUCUCUUAUAAUGAAGACAAAACAAAGAGGGGUUUUGGUCCAAGCCCUUUUCUAGUGGCGUAUGUUGUUGGAACCUCUAGGUUGCUGAUAAUUCAGCUAACCCAAAUCCCAAUCAGUAAAAGAAAGGUUUUCUCUCUGUAGGAUUUCCAGGCUUUCUCUAUAGGUUUUCCUCGCCCUUGGCCUGUCACUGGAGGGUUGAGGUUCUUGGAUCAAAACCAGAUUACCCAAAUCCCUCGGAGAGGCAAAAAAAAAGGCCUUUUUAGGGGAGUUCUGGAAUUUAGAGAAUCCCAGCGUAUUUCAUCCUUCAAAAACCAAAAUACAGUCAUUUCCAGUGCUUUCUAUCUCUAGUCCAAGCCCUUCUUUCUCUCUAGGGUUUUCUCUCUCGACCUGCUGAUGGAUUUCAGCUACCAAGCCUGACGUUCUGGGAUCAGACCCACCUCACGUACCCUCUCUAAAACACGAUACAAAGUCCCUUCUCCCUCCGCCCUGCCGCUCUCUCUCUCUCUCUUUCUCGGCUCAUUCUAAGAUGGACAUCAGCAAUGAGGCGAAGGUGGACUCAUUCUCGAUUGGGCCCUUGACCCUCCUAGGCCGCACUCUCGCCCUCCGCAUCCUUCUCUGCUCUUCCAUUUCUCACCUCCGCUCCCGGCUUCAUCAUUUCCUCAUCUCGUGGACCCCCUUCCUGACCCACUCCCCAAUUGCCUGUGCCCUCUCGUGGCUCCACCCCCGCAACCCCCAGGGCAUCCUCGCAAUCAUAACUAUUCUUGCCCUUGCUCUGCGUCGCUAUGCUGAUGUAAGGUCCCGGGCUGAGGCAGCAUACAGACGGAAAUUUUGGAGGAAUAUGAUGCGGAGUGCCCUGACGUAUGAUGAGUGGUCACACGCAGCCAAGAUGUUGGACAGGGACACGCCGAAGAUGAGUGAGGAGUGUUUGUAUGACGUGGAGUUGGUGAGGAAUAAGCUGAGGGAGCUCAAGCAGAGGAGAAGGGACGGCUCGCUGAGGGAUAUUAUGUUUUGUAUGAGGGCGGACUUGGUGAGGAACCUCGGAAACAUGUGUAACCCCCAAUUGCACAAGGGCAGGCUACAGGUGCCCCGCCUUAUCAAAGACUACAUCGAUGAGGUCUCUACCCAGCUCCGCAUGGUGUGUGACUCCGACUCUGAUGAGCUCCUCCUUGAGGAGAAGCUCUCCUUCAUGCAUGAGACGCGCCAUGCAUUCGGUCGCACCGCCCUCCUCCUCAGCGGCGGUGCUUCCCUCGGCUCCUUCCAUGUUGGUGUAGUUCGCACCCUCGUUGAGAACCGACUUCUCCCACGCAUCAUUGCUGGCUCGAGCGUUGGCUCCAUCAUGUGUGCAGUCGUGGCCACUCGCUCGUGGCCCGAACUCCAAGCCUUCUUCGAGGACUCCCUCCAUUCUUUGCAAUUCUUUGAGCAACUUGGUGGUGUCUUUGCUGUGGUUCGAAGGGUAGCAACCCAAGGGGCGGUGCAUGAGAUUAGACAAUUGCAAAGGAUUUUACGCCACCUUACCGGAAACCUUACUUUUCAAGAGGCUUAUGAUGCGACUGGUCGGGUGCUUGGAAUCACGGUUUGCUCCCUGAGAAGGCACGAGCCACCUAGGUGCCUCAAUUAUUUGACGUCUCCUCAUGUUGUGAUAUGGAGUGCGGUUACAGCUUCGUGUGCAUUUCCGGGCUUGUUUGAGGCCCAGGAGCUUAUGGCAAAAGAUAGGAGUGGGGAGCUUGUGCCAUAUCAUACAUUAUUUCAGGCAGGGCCAGAGGAUUCAACAGGGUCCAUGGCGGGUUCACGUAGGUGGAGGGAUGGGAGCUUGGAGAGUGACUUGCCCAUGGUUCAGCUAAAGGAGCUCUUCAAUGUCAAUCACUUCAUUGUGAGCCAGGCAAACCCCCACAUUGCUCCACUACUGAGGCUCAAGGAGCUUGUAAGGGCUUAUGGGGGUGAUUUUGCAGCAAAGCUUGCUCAUCUGGCGGAAAUGGAGGUGAAGCACAGGUGCAAUCAGAUUUUGGAGUUUGGUUUUCGAUUGGGUGGGCUAGCCAAGCUCUUUGCUCAAGAUUGGGAGGGUGAUGUUACCAUUGUCAUGCCUGCCACACUUGCUCAGUAUUUGAAGAUUAUACAGAACCCAUCUCAAUUGGAGCUGCAAAAGGCCGCCAACCAGGGGAGGAGGUGCACUUGGGAGAAGCUCUCUGCUAUCAAAGCCAAUUGUGGUAUUGAGCUAGUGCUCGACGAGUGUGUGACAUAUCUAAACCACAUGCGCAGGCUCAAGAAGAGUGCUGAGAGGGCUGCUGCUGCCUCACAAGGGGUUGGAAGCUCGAUGAGGUUCAGUGCUUCUCGAAGGAUCCCAUCAUGGAAUUGCAUAGCCAGAGAAAACUCUUCAGGCUCUCUUGAUGAUGAUGCCCAUACCGAUGCUACAUUUCAGCAUGGGUCACACAUGGGAGGCCAUAUUGGCCGCCCCUUCAGGCCUAAUCGUAAUCUCCAUGAUGGUAGUGAUAGUGAGACUGAGAGCACUGACCUUAACUCUUGGACCAGGUCAGGUGGACCUCUAAUGAGAACGGCCUCUGCAAAUAAGUUUGUCAGUUAUGUUCAAAGUUUAGAUAUUGAUGGAGAGGUGAACAAAGCAUGGCCAAAGGAUGAAGUCCUGCAACAUGUAAACAAUACGAAUGAGAUUGAAGCUUCAAUGGAAAACCCCUUGGGGUCAUGUACUAAGGAUGGCUAUUGCAACCAAUGUAAACACUCUUCAGAUAGAAAUUUAGAGAGCCUCGAAUGUGAAGUGGGGAUUAGGGUAGUUCCUUCAUCUACCACAUCAAGCAUUAUGGUUUCAGAAGGGGACCUUUUGCAACCUGAAAGGAUUCAUAAUGGAAUUGUCUUCAGUGUUGUCAAGAAGGAAGACCUGUCUGCUUCUACAACUAGCAAAAGCAGUGACUCUGAGCCCUUAUGCAGUCCUCAGGGUUUGGUGGCUGAGUGUGUUCAGCUUGACCCCCCAGGGAGUAGUGACAUGGAAGGCGAAUCUGACGAUGAUAGUGUUGUGGGGGAUCAUUUCUGAGGAAUGCUUCACCACUCCUAAGUAACUCACAUAAUAAAUCUUUACAAGACAAUUAUUUUGGAAAAGAGGAGAGGGCCUUUUGCAAUGUUCGACUUUGGAGGGCCUUUCCUUGCAAAUUGGGUUUAUUUUAUUGGCUGAUACCCAGGCAAACAGAGAGUUUAGAGCUAGUGUUGGCAAUGGUGUUGAUUGAGGCAUCUGCAUGCCAUGACAUUAUAUCAUCACCGUGUAUCAUUGUAGAUCUUUGAGUGAUCUAUAGAAGUCCUAAAAUGAUUUGUUGAUUGAGGCUCUGUAGAUCAAGUUGUUUUGAUGUUCUCAACGAAUCUAUUGUGAAAGCAGAAUUUUGGGUUUUCAAGGGGUUUGGUGCGGACUUUCAACCAAUGGUGAUCUCAUGAGAGUUUGGACGGAGUGAACUGGAGGGAUUUGAUCAGGGAUUAGUGGCUUGUCUAAUGCCAUUACCUUUUACAUCUUUGCUUCCUUUUGCAUCUUUGCUUCAGAGGGUUGGAAUAGUGUUUGAAAAUCGACCAAGUUGGCCGAGUUACUCUUGCUCGGGCAGUGGCUGAGCCCUAGUUGUCAUGAGUAGGGGGUUCAACUGAUCUUAAAAAAAAAAAAAAAAAGAAUUAUAAAAAAUUCAAAAAAAAAGAAAUCUAUUUUCAUCAUGUUUAUUUAUGUGUUCUAUCUUUUUGGCAAAGAUGACAGUAUUUUGGCCAUGAAUACUUACUCUUACAAUUUUUCCUUUUUUUUGGAUUAUUUCGAAAAUACCCCUUUUCACAAACUGAUUUUUCAAAAUCUAUUUUUGUACUGCUUUUUUAACCUCAUUUCGAUGUGUUUUGUUUAAUCUUAAUUUCAAAAUAUAUUUCCUAUUUUUUUGGUUUUUUUGUAUUUUUUAAAAUUUGUUUAACUCUUCUUUUAUUCUAUAGCACUCGGCCCAACUCGGGCCGAGUUACUCAGACUUGGGCCAGGUACUCGGCUCGGGCAUGGGCGGUGAACUCGGCCCGAGUCGUUCAUUCAAACACUCGGUAGGAAAGGGUUGAACUUCUUGCAUGUGUGGCGUGUCAUUGAUGGCGCCCUCUUCUUUGUGCAGCAUAUGGUUGGUCAAUUCUGAGCUUGGUGGAUCCUAGAUUGCGAGUAGACUUCUCAGGGUUGCCGGUUUUGAUUAUUUCUAUCUUGGCUUUAGAGAGGAGCUUUCAUGCUUGGUUUUGGCUCUAGUUGGUUUGAACCUGGUUCUACACAGUCCUUGCUUGUCGAACUUCCUCCUUUUCUUGUGGUGUUUUGGAUGGAAGACCCCAGCGACCAUUGUCAGAAAGUCCGUGGGUCUUUGGAGCUGGGAAGAACCAAUGUUGGAGCAAGAGGACUUCUUCACUAUGUGAUUUUUAUAGCAUGAACUAGCUCCACACUUUUGUAUUUCCUAAAUUACAUUAGUCAAAUUGUUUGUUGGCUCCAAAGGGUUGCGUAAUCCAUUUUAUCGGGUCUCCUCUUUGUUUAUGAAUGGGGUAAUCUUUAGUUUUAUCAAUCUUUGCUCAUAGAGCUUGAACAUUUGACCAUUCUGCAAGAUGAGUUCAUCUUUUUAUAUUUCUCUGGGAGAUGGAUCAUGUUUUCAAAUCUGUUAGAUAGGUAAACAAUGGCCAUACGAAUAACAGUGCUAAAGAUAAACCCAGGUUUCCAGCUCUCUAGCAUACUAUGUCAUCAUUAAAAGAUUAUUCUCUGUAUUUCUCUGAUUAUUAUCACAUGGAAUGCCUUCAUUGAGAAACAAAUUUGGAUGAAUUGUGUAGUGACAUUUUCUAAGAAUGGUUAAGAAGAUCCAGUGCAGCAUAUGACAUCCAAGUUUGACCCCUAAAACAACACAGUCUAGCACUUUGAUGAUGCCGUCAGUUCAUGGGCUUUCUGUAUUCUCAAUUACAACCAUUUUACUUUUGCUGCCACAUUAUGCCGAAGGUUAACAUUCUUGGUUCUAUAGUGUCACCUAAUACUAACAAGAGCCUCCAGUUCUGGAAUCCAUCUUUGAGCAACCUUCUUUCAUUGAUAUCAUGCAUAUUCUUCUACUGCGUCCCAUAAUCAAAGCUGAUGUUUCUCGCAUAAUGAUGGUUUGCUUUUGGUUAUUUCCUUGAUCACAUUCCCCUCUGUAAAAGUUGAAGCUUAAUUUUGGUCAUUGAGCAUUCAUGACAUACGAUUGAAAUAAUGGAACAUGUAUGAAUAUUCUAGAAAUACAUCACGCACCUUCAUUUAGUUUCUUAUUCAUUUUUGUUUUAUCUGAGGAAUUUGAACUUAAACGCAUGCGAUUGUAUGAGGAAUUUGAAAUUAAAGCAUGCAAUGGUACUCUGCGAUAUGGGCUUGGCUAACAAGGGUAUCCUUGAGGACUAGGCUUGCAAGCCAAUACACAAAGAGUCAUUAGUUCUAGUUUAUCAAAUUAUGACCUACACAUUUUUGUGGUUUUUAAGUACACACAGACUCAUGCAUGCAUAUUCCAUUUACUACGGAGCUUCUCCUGCUGCAUGCCUCCUGCAAAACCGAUUGAACUUUCAUGAUGAAGUUUGAUUUUUCUACUUAUUUUAUCAGAGUGCCUUUGUGUUGAAUCUUACUUUCGAGCGUCGACUAUUAGACAUACGACAUCACAUUAGUCUAUAACAUCUUUUGAUGAGUAAGUAGGGGAUUGGAACCCUCGACGUUACGUUAUAGUUUCACUACCCUAGCCGCAACCCUAGCCGCUGAGCCAAGGGUCCAAACCCUUUGGUCUGCUUGUUUGCACUUUUGGAGCAAUAUUUGAGGUCCGAACCCUUUGGUUAAAUGAUUUUUCUAUUUUUCCAAAAUUGUAAUCGAUCAAAUGGCAAUUUUGUCGUUCAUAAUUUGCUGUCUAGGGUUGUUUGAUUGUUUAAAUUUGAAAUUUUGAAUUCAAUUUGUUAUUGUGUGGUGCGAUGUUGGUGGUGAUGGUGACAGUACAAUGGAGGCAGUAUAGUCGUGGCGGUUGCGGAUAGCAGUGGCAGUGGUGGGGCAGGUGGAGUGGUAGGGCAGGUGGAGUGGUGGGGCAGGUGGAGUGGUGGUGGCUAAUUGGCGAUGGUUAUGGUGGUGAUGAUGGAAUUGGUGGCACAUUUGGUGGCUUGGUAGUGGUGGUGAGUGGUGACAGUGGUGGUGGUGGUGGUGGAGAUGGUGGCUAUGUGGCAAUGGUGGUGGUGGUGGUGGAGGAGCAAUGGUGGUAGUGAUAGUUGUGGUGGUGGACUUGAGAAUUGAGUGGUGGUGGCUAGGCGAUUGUAGUGGUGGAACAAGGGGGGGCGAGGGGUUGUCGGUGGUGGUGAUGGGGUGGUGGCUGGUAAUAGAGAGAUAAAUGAGGCAUGGAAUGGAGCCAGUCCUCGAAGUUCUGGGAGAUAUGUUCCUGGAUCGGGUUUUCGCCUACUGUCCAAGAUUCCCCACCACUGCUCCCAAUGGGAGUCCGGCUGUGUCUCAGUCGCAGUGUGGCUGAUCAUCCAAAAACAUUGAUGGUUUGCUAAAAAUCCAAAGGGCUCAAUAUUUCAAAAUCAGACAAGAUUGAUGUCAAAUUAUUGGUUGCCAAAUUCAAAAUUGGUAUAGAUCGCAAUUUCGCCUGUAAAUCAUAUGGUGCUCGAAUUUCCCUUGCACAGUCCUAUGUCUUGCACUAGCUAAGACUCAUGAUUAACUUGAAGUGUAGACCAUUAUGCCAACUUUUGAGUGUACACUAUUACGCACACCAUACUAUUACACUCACCAUAGAAGUAGCAGCUGUGAAAAAUUCCAGCUAAUGGGGGGAGCAACCCUCGUUCUUCAUCAAUCCACUUUGAGAGUAGGGGUGGCAAUUGGGUCAGGUCAAUCCACCAUCUCCAAUCUGGAUUGAGUCCGGUCCGGGUCGACCCGACCCAGUAUAAAUAUAUAAAAUAUGGAAAAAAUAAAUGUUAUACAUAUAUAAAAUGUUUUUUGUAUUUUAUUUUUUAGACCCAAGUUUGGGUCUAAAUGAAUUGGACCCAACCAAGUCCAGGUCCGUGUCCGGGGUCAGGUCUGAGUCCAUGAGGAAUCUAGUUAGCUUGGGUACGGACCUGACCCGCAUUUGAGAAAGAGGGACUUUGUUGCACUAAAAGGCGCGUAAAGGAUAAAAGACCCAUUUGAGUGUGUGCGUGUGUGUGUGUGUCAGAGAGAGAGAGAGAGAGCCAUAUCUGAUAUAAGUUUGAAGAAUACGUCACAAACUUAUCCUCACAAGCACGUUUGGUUUGCGUGAAAUUGUUUUUUAGAAAACAUUUUCAUUCUCUCAUGUGGUUAAAUGUGAGAAUGUUUUUACAUCAAUUAGUUGCCAAUUGGUGUGAAAAGAUGCACUAAAAUCAAUUGGUAUUAAAAUAUCCCCAUACUUAAAAUAUUUUUUAAAAAACAAUUUCAUGUGAACCAAACGUGCAUAGUUCUCUUUCGAGAACACCCAUCUAAAAGCUAAAGAAACUCGUCACCCUCUUUUAUUCUCUCUCAACACACUGCACUCCAUACUCUCCCUGACGAGGCAUUAUCCAUGUUCACGAGGCCCUUCCCAUUCUUCAGUAUUAGGUGUAAGUUAUCUAUACUACAUUAUUAAGUCAGAGUUAAGGGGAAAAAUAGAAAGGGACCUUAAUUCUAUCGAGGUUAUUGGACACAUCCCUAACUCUAAGGGAUAUCUUCUUCUCAAUCUCUUUAAAUCUUUAGAAAGAGAGAGAUGUAUGUGGGUGUAAUAUGUUGAGAGAGAAACAUCGAAAAAGGAUAUCUUCUCAAUCUCUUAAGUCAGAGUUAAGGGGUGAACACGAGUCGCGAAAAUAAAAGGGACCUUAAUUGUAUAGAGGCUGUAGGGCACAUCCUAACUCUAAGGGCGUGUUUGAUAACAGGAAGUUAGUUCCCAGAUGAUGGAACUUAUCUGUCACUAUUCAUAUUUUGUAUUUGAUUAAAAAAAGGUAAGAUAAAAAUAUAAGUUCAUUUUACUAUUGAUGUUCCACUUUUACAGGUAGAAAAAAUUUCAUAGUAAACCAUGAAACUUGAAAAUAGAACACCCCUCUUCGCACCUGUGCCAUAUUUCUUCACCCCUCUCGCACAGCUAGCCGCUCGCUCGCCCUGUCUCUUGCUCUCUCUCUCUUCUCUUCUUGGAGCUCCCUUCUCUCUGUUCUCUCUCUCACCCUCUGCGAGCAAGAGCUUGAGCAACCAGUGCGAGCAAGAGCAGCAACCUCUCAAUCAGAGUUGUAUGUAGAUUUUUCAAUUUUUUUUCUGUUUUCAGUUUUUUUUUUUUUAAGAAUCCCUGUAAAAAGAUUUAGGGCUUUCCAUAUUUUACAGGGAUUCCUUAAAAUAAUUUGGCGCUUUACCAAUAUUUCCCAAUAUUUGAGAAAUUGGGAAAAAAUGGAAUCCCUGUGAAUUCUGCUUUAAAAAAAUUUGGGGCUUUAGCAAUAUUUCUCUGUUGUAAAUCUGCUGGAUUUUAUUCUAUCUUCUUGUUUCUUGUUCCAUUUCUUUUCAUACACAAGUGACCAAGAUACUUGGAUUUAUUUCAUUGAUUCAUGAUAUUUGAUGCCCUAAAUGUAUGUAAAAAGUAUGCAACCUUGAUUCAUAUAUUUAUGUAUUGGUGAUUCGAGUUUACUGAUUCUAGAGAGCUAUAAUAGUUCUUUAUUUUAUGGCUUGCAAUGGGAGUCAAGAUAAUCUGAUUGAUUUAAUUGAUUCAUGAUAUUUGAUGCCCCAAAUGCAUGUAAAAAAUCAGGAAGCUUGAUUCUUAUAUUUAUGUAUUGGUGAUUCGAGUUUACUGAUUCUAGAGGACUACAAUAGUUCUUUAUUUUGUGGCUUGAAAUGGGAGCCAUGAAAUUUCAGUUUACAGUAUGGAACUUUUAUCUAUUGUUAUUGUCCCUUGAUAAAUAUUUUUUUUCCCUAUUGUGUUUUGGAUUUCCUUUGUUUAUUUAGUGGUUUUUGGUGAUGUUCUGUACAUAACAAAAUUGGGAAUGUUCCUGUAUAAUCUGAUUUAUUUCCUUGAUUCACAGUGGAAUCGAUGAAAAUAUCUCUCCUCUGUACUUUUUCUUCCAUUCUUUCUCUGUCUCUACCCUAACCUACUCCAACAUUUUUUCCUAUUUCCAGUUCUCUCUCAAACCUUUUCUACAUUUGCAACAAGAGAUAAUGAGGGAAAAAGCUAAGCAUGGGCAAAGUAUGCAAGGAGCAAUUACAGUGAGAAAUUGAACUUUUCAUGGAGAGAAAUAAUUGGGAUCCGAUUAAUUUUGAUUUUAUGGGUUUUUUAGAUUUUUUGAAAUGUUGGUUACAGUGAAACAAUCGAGGACUUGUUUACUUUGACAAUUGAAGACAACCGUUGUUGUAGGGGAGGGUUAGACAAAAAUUCAUGACCUUUUUAAAUAGAUGAUUGAAGAGAAGAGUGUUGGAGUUUACAAAGGAGAGAAAAUGUUAAGAGGUAAAGAAGGCAUUUUGAUGGCCUCUCCUUUUGCUCACUAAUGGAGGAUGUCUCUCUCACUUUGAACAACCUUCCUCUCCAAAACAGUUUAGAGAAUUUUCUUGUAGUGCAUGUUUGUAUAUUCAUCACUACUUGGAUGCAUCCAUAUUAUUGAUAUCUUUUAUGAUAUCUGGAUCAUUAUUUUGUUUGAAAUUGGGUUUGAAUGGCUGAAAUUACUGGAAAGCUUGCUUCAAAUCAACUUGAAAGCCCAUUGUUUGCCUUGAGUUUACUCAACAUAUGGUUGUUGCUUGACUUAUGUUGAUUUGAUCUGUGAGAGGUUACAAACUUCAAGUGUAUCUGAUAGUAUGGCUAGACUUAUUCGAAUUAUGUCAUUUGGCCAUGUUAUAAGUCAAUGGUAUGUUAUACCAAUACUAUGGUUUGACAUGCUUAUGUUGCAUUCAGUUUUUGAAGAAUGAGUUUGUUCGUAUUCUUUCUUUGUUCAUGGGUAGGGGAGCCAACGUAGUAAUUAGGAGUGAAAAUGGUGUGGGCUAUGAAUGCUAUAUUCAUAUCGUUUUAUUUUUAUUUCGUAAUCUCAUGUCCUCUUUUAAUAUCCUAUAAAUUUGUGUUGAAGAAGCCAUUUUUCCAAGUAGAUGUACUUAUAUCUUUUGAUAGUUAAUUACUAGCACAUGUUUGCUCUUGAAGGUUGCCUGUGCAUUGAGUGUUAAAAUCUAUUUACAUAUUUGGUAUUAUAUUGGUUGAAUGGAAGGAGCUUUAUUUAAUUACAAAAUGUUAUUUAAAACACUGCAUUUCACACAUCAUAUCAAUGAAAUACAUAAUUAACAGUAUUGUACGCAGAAGAAGGCACUGGUUAUUGUGAUUUAGCUUGUUUCAAAUUCUAUUUUGUUGGUUUUCAUGUGAGCAUCUAUGAAUAUGAGAACACCUUCGGAACCUUUUGUGUGCUAAAUGCUAAACAGUUCAGCAUGCUAAAUUGUGGUCAAUGCAUUCUUCUUCUGAUUUUUUAUGUUGAAUUCUAUGAUGGUUUUACUUUGUACAGUUUUGGCAAAUUCACUGUGGUACUUAGUUCUGGCUUUCUAAGCAUUUUCUCUAUUUAUGUUUGAGCUAUAAUGCCUUGUACUUUUUAUUAUUUAUUUAUGUUUAAUAUUUAGUGCUAUCUAGUUUAAAGAAAUCACCUAACGAGGCUUUAUUAUGACUGCUAAAGACUACCAUAACAAUAUGAGCCAGUGGAACCCUGUAGAGGAGGCCCAAUUCAUUGAUCUCUUGUUGAAAGAGGUCAAGAAGGGGGGGGGGUGAGGAAAGGCGCAUGGAACUGGAUGACAGAGUGUAUGGUAAGUAAUUAUGGGAACUUUUAUGACUUGGAACGGCUGAAGCGUAAGGUCAAGCAGUUUGUAGCAAUGUACAGAGAAGUAAGAAACAUUUUGAGACAUCUAGGUUUUGGCUGGGAUAAGGCUAAUCAAAUGGUGAUUGCCGAACCAGCCAUAUGGGAUCAGUGUACAGCGGUGAGUUGAAAUGCAUUUGUUGUCUAUUUCUUUGUGGUUUUGCAAGUUUAGGUGCAAUGUUCACUCAAAUUCAAUACAUACGUGUGUUCUCCUUACAAGAGUUUACUUAUAUGACAAAGUACAAAGGCAAGUCUUUACCUGUAUACUUCAGCGAAUUGGAGAACAUAUUUGGCACGGAUGGUUCGGAUUGAAGCCAUGUGGAAGGGGGAAGAAAUAGGUAUUGAUGUCUUCCUCAAGGAAUCUCGGCAUCUCAAGACUGUCUUCUUAAGCAUCUAGUCUUUUCUUUCGUUAAAAUUCUAAUUGUUGUCUAAAUAUUUUGUUUUUUAAUGUUGGGAACAUUGUGGGACAAACAACAAUGUUGUUUUAUUGUUGAAUGAGAUAUAUUUUUAUAGGUUAUUGUU